UACGUAGGGGGCUAGCGUUGUCCGGAAUCAUUGGGCGUAAAGAGCGUGUAGGCGGCUCGGUAAGUCCGCUCUGAAAGCCCGGGGCUCAACCUCGGGAGGCGGGCGGAUACUGUCGAGCUAGAGUCCGGAAGAGGCGAGUGGAAUUCCUGGUGUAGCGGUGAAAUGCGCAGAUAUCAGGAGGAACACCAAUAGCGAAGGCAGCUCGCUGGGACGGUACUGACGCUGAGACGCGAAAGCGUGGGGAGCAAACAGG
rnacentral:rRNA from 1 species